GGAUCUAACUUGUGGAGCCGCGGGAGAAGGGCGCUCUCUCUGGGUGCGAGCAGCAGCGCUGCCCAUCACCAGCCUCCCGUGCCCAGUAGCCUUGAGAGGGCUGCCCACGCGUGCCUUCCCUCGGCGCCCACGGACAGGGCUCUGCCGCCAGCGCGGCCGUUAGGCGUUGGGCGCGUGCGCCCCCCGGCCCCGCCCUCGUCUCCAUAGAAACUCGGGAAGCCUGCGCGCGGGGCGGAGCGGAGAGAGCCGGAGAGGCCCAGUGCCGCACUGCCUGGCGACCCUGCCCAGCGCCAGGGCAGGGUGGGCUCCUCCUUUAGCAACGGGGGCACGACUGACCCACGGGCCAGAGAGUUUGUGCCCCGGGCCGUGGUUUGCUAGCAGCCCGGGAGCUCCAGACCUGCUUGUCCUGCCGCUCUGGGAGCAGUGGAGCUCCGUGUUUGCCGGGGAGGCGGAAGUCGGAGAGACGCGCUCUCUACGCGCAGUGGGCCGACGCUGCUCGCUUUGGUCUUUCCGCUGUGGGACACGAACUGGGGUGAGGCUCUCGUUUGCUCACCACCGACCCGGCUCGGACGGACCUCUUGCAUUCUCGCUCAGAGCAUGUGUACCUGCCAAUGUGAUGCCAUCUGCCGGGAUGUCCUCACCAGAGCCAAACCAGUGCUGACACCGUGCUCUUGAACCUCCAAAACGGUGCCUGUUUCCAGGCAGAAAAGUUACUUAUUGACAGCUAGUCACUCUGAGCCCCGGGAGUCCACCUCAUUUAACCUUCGCAGUCACCUGGUCAAGCAGCUGUCAUUUUACAGAGUGGCAGAGAGAGAGAGAGACAGAGACAGACGGACAAUCUUCCAUCUGCUGGUUCACUCCCAGAUGGCUGCAAUGGCCGGAGCUGUGCUGAUCCAAGGCCAGGAACCAGGAUCCUCCUCCAGGUCUCCCAUGUGGGUGCAGAGGCCCAAGGACAUGGCCAUUCUCUGCUGCUUUCGCAGGAGCAUUAGCAAGCAGCUGGAUAGGAGUGGAGCAGCUGGGACUUGAACUGGCGCCCACACGGGAUAUUGGCCCUUCAGGCAGCUACGCCACAGCACCAGCACUGGCUCCUGGACUGAGUUUUUGUCUGCUGGCUUUGGCCUGGCCCAGCCCUGGCUACUGGAGAAUAGACUAGCGGACAACCGCUCUUUCAGAUUCUCAGAGAAACAAAUAAAAUAUAUGGGAGAAGCCUGGGCAGGGGAGACAGCACUUAAGACAUUGUUUGGGACACCCACAUUUCCUAUGGGGUCCCUGGGUUCAAAUCCUGAGCCCAGCUUGGGAGGCAGCAGCUGAUGGCUCACGUGGAUAGGGGAGUGAACCAAGAGAGGUAGAUCUGGCUCUCAAAUAGUUUUAAGAGAUACAGUAGGAUGUGCACAGACCAUAUGUAAAUACUAUUCCAUUCUAUGUAAGCAGCAGAUUUUAGUAUCUGAAGGGAUCCUGGAACAUCACCCAUGACGCUGAGGAAGAUUCAGCCAGGGAGUUCUGUCCUCUUAGUAUCACAGUCACAAUUAUAAAACAGGUACGUACAUACGCCAGAGCGCACUCCCCCCGCAGCCCUCGAGGUUCACCCUGUGGCACUCGGGCACCCCCAGGCCUGUGGAGGGUCAGUGCAGUAGGGACUGCUACGCUGCCUGCUGCUUUUGGAACCUGUGCUGCCUGGAUCACUGAAAGGUGGCUGUAGUCAAGGCUGUUCUUUCAAAUUCGGCUUUCUCCACUGGCUGCCUCUCCUCAGAACCUAUUUAAAUGUUUCAUUAUCAUCAUAUAGACUUCUAUUUAUCCCUCUUUAGAAUCUGGGCUUCCUGAAACUGUGGAUUGGUGCCACAGCAGUUCUGGAAACGUCUUGACAAAUCUCAUCUUUAAUCUCUCUCUUCCCUCUGAGAGGGAUUAAAAGUAGGUCUCUCCUACUCAAUGAAUCUUGUUUUUACCUUAGCCAGCAUCCCAUGAGUGCCAGUUUGAGUCUUUCAAAUAAAAACUAUUUUGUAGAGAUCUUAAUUCCCCGGGUUGCAGGUUUCUGCCUAUGCCUUUCCUCCCCAGAUCGCUGUAGCUUGUUUCCUCGGCAGAUUUAAGGCUGUCUUAUUUUCUUGAGGCGAAUUGACAGAACAUUGUUCACACAUGAUCUAUACACUUGUUAAGUUAGAAUCACAUCCCUCUGAAAUCCCUACAAUCCAUGACACAAACCUGCGCAUCAGGAAGUUCCUUCCUUCCCUUUUGCUUGUUAUUUGUGUGAUAAAAACACUCGACGUAAGAUCUAAGCUCCCAGCAAACUGUGACGCUUACAGUAUAAUUACAGGCGCUAGUCUGCACACAUGUGUCACUCAAACAGCCUCCUGACUUCCUUACACAUAAACAAAAUACUCAGAAAAAGUAGGAAAACUCCUUGUCACGAUGCCUUGUUUUCUCAUUUUGAGCACCUGCUGCUAAAAGCUUUUGAAAAUUCCUCAAGAAGUACAGUGACAAAGCCUUUGUCCAGACAGUGGCUUUCACGUACAUCCAGUCUUGGAAACCAGCGGGGGAAAGCCCAAGACCCAGUUCGUCCACUUUCCAGACGUCACUUACACCCCCUGGGGCUCCAGCCACGGUCUCUUCAGGAGUGAAGCAGUCAAGGGUCCCAGUGUCCUGGGCAUGUGGGGACUGACCAUAAUGACCCUGACCCAGCAGGGGUUGGGCCCUGACCUCUGACCCCCUAGCCUGCAUGGCUACUAAGCCAGGGUUCAGUCUGGCAGACUGUUAACUGGGGACAGCUUUGAGCUCUCUAGGUUACGUCCUUUCCCAACGUCGCCGUAUGCCCUUCUGUUGCUACGGAAGACUGUGUCAGUCUAACUGCUGUUCCUUUUCAGGUCAUCUGGCUUUUCUCUAUAGUUGCUUUCAGGAUUUUAUCUUUUGCUCUUAUGCAGUUUUAUGUUUUGUUUAGUAAAUCUGCUCAAUUCUUAAAGUUGACCACUUUCUUGAGCUGUUUAAUCUGCAGCUUAGCUGUUCAUUUAGUUUAUUUCUAUGUGAUUUUUUUCACUUCUUCAAGAUCUACUUUUCCAUAUCCUCAUUUUCUUUAGUGUCCCUUUCCAUCGUGGUUUCUGUUCCUUUCUGAAAUGUUUCUAAUCAUUGCAAACAUUACUUGUGGUCCAUCAUUUCCUCAUGUGCUUCUAAGUGUCCCCAUGGUUGCCUGCAUGUUAUCUUUGUUUCUGCCAGGAGUGACAGGGGUUCGUGUCAGAUUACUUAUUUUUAAAGAUCUAUUUAUCUGAAAGAGUUACAAAAUGAGAGGUAGAGGACAGAUCUUCUGUUGUUUCACUCCCCAGAUGGCCAAAAUGGCCAGGGCUGGGCCAGGUCAAAGCCAGGAGUUUCUUGUGGGUCUCCCAUAUGAGUGGCAGGGGCCCAAACACUUGAGUCAUCUUCCGUUGCUUUUCACAGGCCAUUAGCAGGGAGCCUGAUCAGAAGCAGAACAGCUGGGACCCGAACCAGUGCCCAUACAGGAUGCCAGUGUCACAGGUGGCAGCUUGACCAGCCACACCACCACGCUAACCCCUCCUGUUAGAUUGUUUAAGACAAAGAUUCUGUGCCACAUGGAGUAGAAACUUAGAAUCCACACAUGUGGAUCGCAGGACUGAGAUUUUCCAGCCAUGAAGCAAAAAAAUCCCAGUCCACACUUCAGUCACAGUUCCACCACUUCCUUAGCCUGCUUUCAUUUCCUUCCCAAGUCCUAGACUGUGUGUGUGCACGCACGUACAUGUGUGUGCAAGGAGCUUCCCAAUGCCAGUGCCUCUACCCUGUGUACAUACCCUGCCCCUACGUAACUGGUAAAAUUCCCUUCUGUCUACAAACUCCAGUGCACCAUGGCAGGAGCCUCCGAACUUCCCAUUCCCUCCAGUCCCCUUUGUUCUUGUAAGCUGCAAACUCCUUUUCUCUCAAGCUGGACCAACCAACUGGCUGGCUUAUUUAAUUAUUUAUCCUUAUUUAUUCACUUACAUUUAUUUGUUUAUAUUUCAAAGAGAGAGGGAGAGACACAGAUAUGUCUUCCACCUGUUGGUUCACUCAGCAAAUAUCCACACAAAUAGGGCUAGGCCAGGCGGAAGCCAGGUGUCAGGGUCUCCCACAUGGGCGUCAGGAACUCAGGCUGGGCCAUCCUCUGCUGCCUCCCAGGCACAUUAGCAGGAGCUAGAUUGGGAGUAGAGUAGCCAGGACUCAAACGAAACUCCGAUAUGGAAUGUGGCCGUCCCAGCUUAAGCCCCUGUGCCACAAUGCCUGCUUUCUGCAAGUUGCCUUAAGUUUUAGUUAUAUUUUUUUCCUUCCAAAUAUUUUAUUUAUUUGAAAGGCAGACUUACAGAGAGAGGAGAGGCAGAGAGAGGUCUUCCAUCCACCGGUUCACUCCCCAGAUGGCUACAACAGCAGGAGCUGCACUGAUCAGGAGCCAGGAGCCUCCUCAGGAUCUCCCAAGUGGGUGCAGGGGCCCAAGGACUUGGGCCAUCCUCCACUGCCCUCCCAGGCUAUAGCAGAAAGCUGGAUCGGAAGAGAAGCAGCUGGGACUAGAACCGGCGCCCAUAUGGGAUGCCGGCACUUCAGGCCAGGGCUUUAACCCGCUGUUCCUCAGCGCCGGCCCCAAGUUUUAGUUAUAUUUUUAAGCUCUUUCAGUGUACGUGUGAUUGAAGUGGGGAAAAACUGUCAUGGAAAAAUUUCAAAAUGCAAGCUCUGGGGGCUGGUGCUGUGGCGUAGGGAUAAAGCUGCCGCCUGCUGUGCCAGCGUCACAUAUGGGCGCCGCUUUGAGUCCUGGCUGCUCCACUUCCAAUCCAGUUCUCUGCUAUGGCCUGGGAAAGCAGUAGAAGAUGGAUCAAGUCCUUGGGCCCCUGCACCCCUGUGGGAGACCAGGAAGAAGUUCCUGGCUCCUGGCCUCAAAUCAGCGCAGCUCCAGCUGUUGCAGCCAACCGAGGAGUGAGCCAGCGGUUGGAGGACCCUCCCUCCUCUCUCUGUGCCUCUCCUUCUCUGUGUAACUCUUUCAAAUAAAUAAAUAAAUCUUAAAAUCAAAAUGCAACCUCUGAGCUAAAGUUGGGGGACAUCUCAAUGGAAGGAGACGUGACAGCAGGGCUUUGCUGGAAGCAAGGGCGCAGGCAGGAAACGGUGAGCAGUAGCUCUUCCUGCCGUUUUUCUGUGGCCAUAAUGGUACACGUGAAUGUCCUGGAUCAACUCUCAAGAGCAUCAAAAGUGAUGGAAAAAGAGGCAAACGCCAGGUUCUCAUGAGGCCACACUCCAAAGUCACGGUCAGUUUCUAACUGUGAUGAUGACGCAUCAUUACACUGGCGGACUUGAAGUCACUAUGAUCACACAACUGGGAAAAUCAUUCUGAACCUCACAGGCAGGUUAAACAAACGUGGAGUAAGUGGCUGAAAUUUUAAAUUAAUUAACUUAGUCUUAUUUUAAAGAUAGAGCGAGACAAACGCAUGCAUGUACACACAAAGAGAUCCUCCAUCUUUUGGUUUGUUCCUCAAAUGCCUACUACAGCUGGAGCUAGGACAGGCCACAGUCAGGAGCCCAGAACAAUCUGGGUCUCAUGUAGACAGCAGGGAUCCCAGGACCUGAGACAUCACCUGCAGCCUCCCAGGAGCGGCAUUACCAGGAAGCUGAAAUCACAGAGAGCUGGGUCGUGAACUCGGGUGCUCCCAAGCAGUGUCCUGACUUCUGUGUCAAACGUCCCUGCUCGGCCCUCGCCAAGACUGGAUGUGUAACUCAAAGACUGAACCAGCUGACAGCAUGGCCACACAGGCAUUCAGGAUGAAAAUACAGCACAGGGGCAAUCUUGGGAUUCUUUUCCAAAGGAUAUUAAGCGUAUUUAAAAAUAAAAUACCUUAACAGAAGAGGGGAAAACCACUCAGAAGUGAAUAGUUUAUAACCGGAGUGAAGGCUUUCAGAAAGUCAUACAGGGGUGGGUUAAGCCUCAGCUUGGGACACUGGCAUCCCGUAUCAGACUGCAGGUUUCAAGUCUGAGUCCUGACUACUGCACUUCUAAUCUAGUUCCCUGCCAAUGCGCCUGGGAAAGCAAUGGAUGAUGCCCCAAGUGCUUGGGUCCCUGCCACCUUCGUGGGCAACGCCAUGGCCCAGCCCAGACAUUGUGGGCACCUGGGGUGUGAGUCAGCUGUUCUCUCCCCCAUCACUCUGCUUUUCAAAUCUAUUCAUCUGUCUGCCUGCCUACCUACCUACGUACUUAGUUGAAAAGCCAUACAAAGGGAUUUGUUCAGAAAGAUUCAAGGGCAACCCUUGCGGCAUUAGGCUGAUACACGAAAAAACCAGCCAAGCUUCUGAGGAACACACCUUGUGGGGUCAGACAGGCUAGAUUAAAAUUAGAAAAAUAAGGCAACAACUUUCAUGAGUCCUAUAAGAACACAGAAAGGAUGCAAAGAUUUUUUGACUUAAAACACUGGACAAGUACAUUAAAAAAGGGACAAGUUAUAAAUUCUAGACACAAAACAAGGACCUGCAGGUGGCCAAACUUAGCAAAAACCAAAACCUUAAAGAGCAACAACAACAACCCAGGGAGUUCACUUAAAUCUGAAUUUUGGAGAGGUAAGAGCCCCUGCGAUGCUGGCGUCCCAUGUGCACGGCGUGGUUCAUGUUCUAGGUGCUCCACUUGGGAACCAACUCCCUGGUGAUGGCCUGGGAGGGCAGUGGAGAUGCCCAGGUGCUUGGGCCCCUGCACCCACAUGGAGACCUGGAAGAAGCUCCUGGCUCUGGUCUGGCCCAGCCCUGGAAGCUCUCUCUCUUUGAGUCUUCCUCUAACUAUGCCUUUCAAAUAAAUAAAUCCUUAAAAAAUUCAAUUUCACAAAAACCAUGAAAUACUUUUGGAAUGUAUUAUCAUGCAAUAUUUGCGACACACUUAUACUAAAAAAGUAUUCCCUGUUUAUCUGAAACUGAAAUUUAAUUGGGUGUCUUGUAUUUUUUUAAAGCUUUAUUUUAUUUGAAAGGCACAGUGAAGGGGAGGGGGGUGCAGAUCUUCCAUAUGCUGGUUCACUCAAAUGGCUGCAAUGGCUAGCGCUUGGCCAGACUGAAGCCAAGAGUUUCUUCCAAGUUUCCCAUGUGGGUGCAAGAAACCCAAACACUUGGGCCAUCUUCGGCUGCUUUCCCAAGUGCAUUAGCAGGGAAAGGGAACAGCUAGGACUUGAACUGGCGUCCACAAGGGAUGCUAGUGUUAAGAGACAGUGGCUUUACCAGUUACGGCACAAUGCUGGCCCCAGUAUCUUGUCUUUUAUCUCACAAUCCUCCCUCUUACCAAUUAUCCAUGAAUACAAUAGUGGGAUUUGAAGACCAAGAAAGGAAAAUUGCUAGGCAUGAAAAAAGGAUGUAAACUAAAUAAACUGGCAAAGCCUGGUUGCCUCAGUUAGAAAGUGCUUACCUGCAUCGUAACUAGCCUGUCAUCCACCAUCACCUCCUUGGUCAGAAAGUCUGCUCCUAUUGUGGCUUUGUACUGGUUACUGAAUUUCUUGUUCACGUACUGGUUCAUGAGUGAUGUCUUACCAACUCUGAAAUUUGAGAAAAACCACGGUAUAAAUUCAAAUGAAAGAGAAUGAAGCCAACUUUGACAUUUGCAGUUUUGGUAAAAGGAAUCUGCCUGUGUUGAAGGAGAACAAACAGCCCUCAAAGCAAAGGCCGGCGGGAAUCACCCAUCGAGACCUUCUCCUGGGAUAAAACAUGGGUCCAGAUGCGGUCUGAUGCUAAACAACCUUUUGUCAGUUUUGGUAGAGGCAACUCAGAUGGCAAAACCUAGUAUUAUUUCUCUCCUUCCAGGAGAAUGCCAGCCCUCGCUUCUAAAAGGAGCUUCAGUAAUAAGAUCAUUUCACUCUUCCAAAAAUAUCACUGCAGUCCUGGGUGUUUCUCCAUUUAGCGGUUGUUAUUCAGUUGGAUGAAGUAAUACAAGGCGGAAGCAACUGGCUCCGAGCAGACACACGCUGCGCAGCCAACUUGCUGCUUUACAGCUUCAGGUCUGAAGCAGAGGAAGAGCCAGCAAACCACCAAGCCAGAGUCCACCUGAAGUAUGUUCUUCCAAUGAUGUUUUUCAGCAAGAACACACUGUUACAGGACGCCAUCCUCGCACAGCCGGGAGCAAUGCUAACCAGCCCACACCGCCUCAGCCAGGACUGCCAGAGGCGGGGAGGUGGAAUCUGUAAUGGAACAAGGUCUGGUGAUUCGUUUUAGACAAGUAUGGGUAAGGCAAGCCUAGGAACACCUCUCCAUGGAGACAGCAGGCGGGGACAGGGGAGUGACCAUGCACCUUGGCCCUACCUUACUGGCCUCUGACAUGGCAAGCGGUAGCUUAUAAAAGGUUCCUUGGUGAUUUAACUAAGCCAGCCACACCAGGAACGUCACCAGCUUUUUAAAGGAGUGGCAGGAAGCUUUGAAAUAGAGGCCCACACACCUGCAUCUCCUGUUGUUGCUUUAAUACGGGCGUCUUCAGUGAGACAAGGCAUCAGAGGUCACUGCAGAUGCCAAUUCUGCAAAGCUCCCAGACACUGCCGUUAGUUACCUGGUGAGCAGCACACCUAGAACCAGGGGCUCAGGCUUUCACACACAGAUCUGAGCCAAACACACCAAAAGGAGGCACAGUGGGCACAAAACCACAGAUGCAAAGCAAGAUGCCAAAUCUAUGGAAGCAGGACUCCCUGCCUGCCGACUUGGGAGUUCCAUGAAAACGAUGCUCUUUGUAGAGCUCAAGCAGUCAUCCUCCCCCAAAUCAUGAUGAAAUCAGAGAACGGGGGUUACAGAAGAUGCCCCGAUUCACAGGGCCUGACACCCCGUGUGGUAGCACAGAGGGCUGAGCUCCAAGUCAGUCUUAGUUCCAAUCCAGGAGAAACACUUACCCAGAAUCUCCCAAGAUGAUCACCUUCAGCAACACUUUCUUCCGAGAGGUCAUCUUUCAAACUAAGUGAGGAAAGGAGAAAGCACCGUGAGUAUGACGACAGUAACAAGAAGCCCCUCCUAUGGCCCAAGUGCUUGGGCCCUGCACCCGCAUGGGAGACCAGGAGGAAGCACCUGGCUCCUGGCUUCGGAUGGGUGUAGUUCCAGCCGUGGUAGCCAUUUAGGGGGUGAACCAACGCAAGGAAGACCUUUCUCUCUAACUCUGUCAAAAAAAAAAAAAAAAAAAGGAAGCCCCUGCUUUGGCGCGGACAGCACAGGUGUAGGCCUUGCUCGCCUCUUUCCCAGCAGCUAGAGGGCCAGGAAAGCACAGCCCAGUUAGGAGAGGUCAAGGCUGAAGCUACUGGAUCAGCAUUUGGAUUAAUGCUCCAAACGGACUCAACAGCCUGUUCCUUGCUUCACUCAAGUCCCUGUGGGAAUGCUGAGAACACUUCCACCCUCACCUCUGCUCUCCAUCCCAUUACCUUGCUUUAUUUUUCUUCAGAGCAAUCAUUUUUAUGUACUGUAUUUGUCAUCUGUCUACCUUCUCUUUUCCAAUAAUCUCCAUGAAGACA